rnacentral:rRNA from 1 species
GACGAACGCUGGCGGCGUGCUUAACACAUGCAAGUCGAACGGAAAGGCCCUGCUUUUGUGGGGUGCUCGAGUGGCGAACGGGUGAGUAACACGUGAGUAACCUGCCCUUUACUUUGGGAUAACUUUAGGAAACUGUGGCUAAUACCGGAUAGUAGCUCCUGCUGCAUGGUGUUGGUUGGAAAGUUUCGGCGGUUGGGGAUGGACUCGCGGCUUAUCAGCUUGUUGGUGGGGUAGUGGCUUACCAAGGCUUUGACGGGUAGCCGGCCUGAGAGGGUGACCGGGCACAUUGGGACUGAGAUACGGCCAAGACUGCUACGGGAGGCAGCAGUGGGGAAUAUUGCACAAUGGGCGGAAGCAUGAUGCAGGAACGCCGGGUGCGGGAUGACGGCCUUCGGGGUGUAAACCGCGUUCGACUGUGACGAAGAGUGAGUGACGGUAAUGGGUAAAGAAGCACCGGCUAACUACGUG